GACGAACGCUGGCGGCGUGCUUAACACAUACAAGUCGAACGGAAAGGCCCUGCUUUUGUGGGGUGCUCGAGUGGCGAACGGGUGAGUAACACGUGAGUAACCUGCCCUUGACUUUGGGAUAACUUCAGGAAACUGGGGCUAAUACCGGAUAGGAGCUCCUGCUGCAUGGUGGGGGUUGGAAAGUUUCGGCGGUUGGGGAUGGACUCGCCGCUUAUCAGCUUGCUGGUGGGGUAGUGGCUUACCAAGGCUUUGACGGGUAGCCGGCCUGAGAGGGUGACCGGCCACAUUGGGACUGAGAUACGGCCCAGACUCCUACGGGAGGCAGCAGUGGGGAAUAUUGCACAAUGGGCGGAAGCCUGAUGCAGCAACGCCGCGUGCGGGAUGACGGCCUUCGGGUUGUAAACCGCUUUCGCCUGUGACGAAGCGUGAGUGACGGUAAUGGGUAAAGAAGCACCGGCUAACUACGUG
rnacentral:rRNA from 1 species